AUGAACGCUGGCGGCGUGCCUAAUCCAUGCCAGUCGAGCGAACAGACGAGGAGCUUGCUCCUCUGACGUUAGCGGCGGACGGGUGAGUAACACGUGGAUAACCUACCUAUAAGACUGGGAUAACUUCGGGAAACCGGAGCUAAUACCGGAUAAUAUAUUGAACCGCAUGGUUCAAUAGUGAAAGACGGUUUUGCUGUCACUUAUAGAUGGAUCCGCGCCGCAUUAGCUAGUUGGUAAGGUAACGGCUUACCAAGGCAACGAUGCGUAGCCGACCUGAGAGGGUGAUCGGCCACACUGGAACUGAGACACGGUCCAGACUCCUACGGGAGGCAGCAGUAGGGAAUCUUCCGCAAUGGGCGAAAGCCUAACGGAGCAACGCCGCGUGAGUGAUGAAGGUCUUCGGAUCGUAAAACUCUGUUAUUAGGGAAGAACAAAUGUGUAAGUAACUAUGCACGUCUUGACGGUACCUAAUCAGAAAGCCACGGCUAACUACGUG
rnacentral:rRNA from 1 species